CUGUGACUCUCUGGCACAGUAAUACACAGCUGAGUCUCCAGGCUGCAUGUUCUGCCCUUGCAAAGUAAUUGUUUUACUGGCCACGUCAAGGGUUGUCUUAUCCAAGCUGUCCAGCUACCAACAGAAUAAGAGACCUGACAGCGGAUGGUCAGAGGUUGACCGGGUCGGAUAGUCAGAGACUCUGGCUGAACGCCUCACCAGAGCCAGUAGACAGGAGCAGCAGCAGUACAGCUACAGAGAACAUGGUUUGUGUUGAAGCUCAACUGGAGGAAGAUGCCCUGUUUUACACUUGAGAACUUAUAAGGGUUGCCUCAAAGCCUAAAGCCACAGGGAUUAUGUGAAAAUAUGUGCCUUCGGUCCACACUGAACUGGGGUGAAGGCCUUACAGUGCUCUGCUCCCUCAGAUUGGAACUGCGUGGACAAAGACAAGAUCUUGACCCUGUGUUCUUGUGUCUUAUGUUGCUCAUUAUCAUGUUUUGAACAUGUAACAAGUAUCACGUUAUUCAAAGAAAAUAAAGGUACAUAUUUUUUUGUUUGUA